GUAUAUAUACAUUUGUGUAUUUCUUUAUGUGUGUAUGUCAUCACGCGAGUGCUUGUGUAUGUAAGUUUUCUUGCAAAUAUUAACAGUUUUCGUGUGCAUGCGUUGCCGAUUGUUUCCUUUAGGAUAGCAGAAAAUUCUAUACGUUGAAUCACAGAAAACACACACGUGUGUGUGUAAGCAUAUUAUUGUAGAACACAAUAAUUUCCUAUCAAUCAAAUCAUUUGCUAAAAAAAUCGCCGCAUAAGUCCGCUCUGAAAUGCAGUCCAACAACGAUUCUUUUACACAGUAUGCUGUAAAACAUCACGUGACACAAGCAAUUAGCAAUAAGUUGUUUUUUUUUUUUUUUUAGGCCUGUGACAAUAGUCUACUUUAUAAAAAUACAACAGAACUAAACACCUUGCAAAAAUUGCAUCAAACAAACAUACAAUUGGGAGGAAAAAACCUGUUUAUCGCUAGUGCAGAUCUUAAACGGAAAUCGCGACGGACUUCGUCAGUCAGCUUCAGUAAACGAAACAAUAGUAAAUGCAUUAUUCCACAUCGCAUGCAUAACAACUGUGACUGGCCGACGUUCUGUACGAAUCGGCAUAAAAAGCGAAUGAAAUGAAA